UACGGAGGGGGCUAGCGUUGUUCGGAAUUACUGGGCGUAAAGCGCACGUAGGCGGCUUUGCAAGUCAGAGGUGAAAGCCCGGGGCUCAACCCCGGAAUUGCCUUUGAGACUGCAUCGCUAGAAUUGUGGAGAGGCGAGUGGAAUUCCGAGUGUAGAGGUGAAAUUCGUAGAUAUUCGGAAGAACACCAGUGGCGAAGGCGACUCGCUGGACAAGUAUUGACGCUGAGGUGCGAAAGCGUGGGGAGCAAACAGG
rnacentral:rRNA from 1 species